AAUACAAAAUACAGUUAAAAUAAAAUGUCAACCUCCUGGAGUGAUCGGUUACAGAAUGCAGCAGAUAUGCCUGCUAACAUGGAUAAGCAUGCCCUGAAAAAGUAUCGUCGAGAAGCCUAUCAUCGUUACUUAUGAAAUGAAGACAAAGAAAAGGUUUGGUAAUAAGAGGAGAAGCCAUGCAGUUUUAACUUUGGCUACCAAGCUGAGGAUCAAGUGGAAAGGAUAACCUUAUUUUCUGUCUUUUCCCUUUCCGUUCCCUUUCCUCUUUUCUUUUCUCUUUUCUAUUCUUCUUUUUUUUUUUUUUUUUGAUGGAAUCUUGCUUUGUAGCCCAGGCUGGAGUGCAGUGGUGUGAUCUUGGCUCACGGCAACCUCUGCCUCCCGGGUCUAGGCUCAAGCAGUUCUCCUACCUCAGCCUCCUGAGUAGCUGGGAUUACAGGAACACGCCACCAUGCUCAGCUAAUUUUUGUAUUUUUAGUAGAGACAGGGUUUCACCAUGUUGGCCAGGCUGGUCUUGAACUCCUGACCUCGUGAUCCACCCGCCUCAGCCUCCCAAAGUGUUGGAAUUACAGGCGUGAGCCACCGUGCCUGGCCCUUCCUUUCUUUUCUUCUUUCUUUUUUUUCUUUUUGAAACAGGGUCUUACUCUGUCACCCAUGCUGGAAUGCAGUGGUACAAUCUUGGCUCAUUGCAACUUCUGCCUCUCAGGCUCAGGAGAUCCCACUUCAGCCUCCCGAGUAACUGGGACUACAGGCAUGUGCCACCACACCCAGCUUUUUUUUGUAUUUUUUGUGGAGACGGGGUUUUGCCAUGUUGCCUAGGCUGGUUUCGAACUCCUGUGCUCAAGCGAUCUGCCUGCCUUGUAAAGUACUGGGAUUACAGGCGUGAGCUACUACACCUGGCCUUUAUUUUUAAAGAUGAUUAAAACUUACCCUGAAAGACCAUCAUGCUGAUGAUCUACCAUACUAUUAUAUGUUCAGUUUUUCCUAUGUCUUCAUAGUGAUCUUUCUGAUUAUUUCAUUUCCUUAAACUCUGAUAUUUUGGUCUUAAAUGCGGGAUAAAGUCCAAAUUCCCUAAUGUGGCUUACAAAAUCUUCAGGAUUUUGACCCCUACUAACCUUUCAUAGCUUUUAUUGCUCCUUCCCCCAUCCUUGCCCCCUGGAAAACCUCUUUCUGUGAAAACAAACAGAAGCAAAACCAAAGAAAGCUUCUCAACUCCAGCCACAAUAAAUGCUUUGUAGUUUACUGUAAA
rnacentral:lncRNA from 1 species